UACGUAGGGACCAAGCGUUGUUCGGAUUUACUGGGCGUAAAGGGCGCGCAGGCGGCUCGUGACGUGCCGUGUGACAGCUGGGAGCUCAACUCCCAGCGGCCAGGGUAGACGCACGGACUAGAGGCAGGGAGAGGGCAGUGGAAUACCCGGUGGAGCGGUGAAAUGCGUAGAGAUCGGGUGGAACACCAGGGGCGAAGGCGGCUGCCUGGCCCUGACCUGACGCUGAGGCGCGAGAGCGUGGGGAGCAAACUGG
rnacentral:rRNA from 1 species